rnacentral:rRNA from 1 species
UACGUAGGUCCCGAGCGUUGUCCGGAUUUAUUGGGCGUAAAGCGAGCGCAGGUGGUUUAUUAAGUCUGGUGUAAAAGGCAGUGGCUCAACCGUUGUAUGCAUUGGAAACUGGUAGACUUGAGUGCAGGAGAGGAGAGUGGAAUUCUAUGUGUAGCGGUGAAAUGCGUAGAUAUAUGGAGGAACACCGGUGGCGAAAGCGGCUCUCUGGCCUGUAACUGACACUGAGGCUCGAAAGCGUGAGGAGCAAACAGG